AGAUUGAACGCUGGCGGCAGGCCUAACACAUGCAAGUCGAGCGGUAGAGAGGUGCUUGCAUCUCUUGAGAGCGGCGGACGGGUGAGUAAUGCCUAGGAAUCUGCCUAGUGGUGGGGGAUAACGUUCGGAAACGGACGCUAAUACCGCAUACGUCCUACGGGAGAAAGCGGGGGACCUUCGGGCCUCGCGCCAUUAGAUGAGCCUAGGUCGAUUAGCUAGUUGGUGAGGUAAUGGCUCACCAAGGCGACGAUCCGUAACUGGUCUGAGAGGAUGAUCAGUCACACUGGAACUGAGACACGGUCCAGACUCCUACGGGAGCAGCAGUGGGAAUAUUGGACAAUGGGCGAAAGCCUGAUCCAGCCAUGCCGCGUGUGUGAAGAAGGUCUUCGGAUUGAAAGCACUUUAAGUGGAGAAGGUUGUAACUUAAUACGUUGCAAUUUGACGUUACGACUAGAAUAGCAACCGGCUAACUUCGUGCCUAGCAGCCUA
rnacentral:rRNA from 1 species